GAAAACAGGAGCUCUAUUAUUACGAAAAGUUGGCAAGGAUGGAACAUUUUUGAUACGAGAGAGUACCAAACAAGGCCACAUACAACCCUUCACGAUGAUGGUAUUAUUCCAGAACAACAUCUAUAACUUAAAAAUAAGGGUCCGACCAGACGGUAGAAUGGCCCUAGGAGAGGAAAAGCCAGAUGAAAUUUCCUUUAUGGACGUCCAGAAGCUUGUUAAAUAUCACAAGGAAAA